CACGAAGCCGGAAUCGCUAGUAAUCGCAGAUCAGAAUGCUGCGGUGAAUACGUUCCCGGGUCUUGUACACACCGCCCGUCACACCAUGGGAGCCUGGAAGUGCCCGAAGUCAGCGGCCCAACCGGAAGGAGGGAGCUGCCGAAGGCAGGCCCGGUGACUGGGGUGAAGUCGUAACAAGGUACC
rnacentral:rRNA from 1 species